CGAGCCCAACCUCCCACCCGUGUUUACCGUAACCGCGUUGCCUCGGCGGGCCCACUGGGGCCUGUCCCCGGUCGCCGGGGGGCAUCUGCCCCCGGGCCCGCGCCCGCCGAAGCGCCCUGGAACCCUGUCUGAAUAGUGAGUCUGAGUGAAUGAUUGAAUCAUUAAAACUUUCAACAACGGAUCUCUUGGUUCCGGCAUCGAUGAAGAACGCAGCGAAAUGCGAUAAUUAAUGUGAAUUGCAGAAUUCCGUGAAUCAUCGAGUUUUUGAACGCACAUUGCGCCCCCUGGCAUUCCGGGGGGCAUGCCUGUCCGAGCGUCAUUUCUGCCCUCCAGCCCGGCUGGGUGUUGGGCGCUGUCCCCCCGGGGACACGCCCCAAAGGCAGUGGCGGCGCCGCAUGGGUCCUCGAGCGUAUGGGGCUUUGUCACCCGCUCUGAGGGACUCGUCGGCGCUGGUCUUCCCCCAGGCGGCCCGUCUCGGGCUCGUCUUCUUCCGGUUGACCUCGGAUCAGGUAGGGCUACCCGCUGAACUUAA
rnacentral:rRNA from 1 species